rnacentral:rRNA from 1 species
CCCGUUAGUGGCGGACGGGUGAGUAUCGCGUAGGGAUUUAUCGUUGGGUGGGGGAGUAACCUUGGGAAACUGGGGCUAAUACCGCAUGACGCCUGAGGGCCAAAGUUGUAAUGGCGCCUGACGAGGAGCCUGCGUCCGAUUAGGUAGUUGGUUGGGUAAUGGCUGACCAAGCCUGCGAUCGGUAGCUGGUCUGAGAGGAUGAUCAGCCACACUGGGACUGAGACACGGCCCAG